rnacentral:rRNA from 1 species
GACGAACGCUGGCGGCGUGCUUAACACAUGCAAGUCGAACGAAGUGGCGAACGGGUGAGUAACGCGUAAUCAACCUGCCCUUCAGAGGGGGAAAACAGUUGGAAACGACUGCUAAUCCCGCAUACUGAAGGAGGGGAUUGCGGCGGAUUAGCUCGUUGGGGGGGUAACGGCCCACCAAGGCGAUGAUCAGUAGGCGGGCUGAGAGGAUGAACGGGCAACUUGGGAAUGAGAAACGGCCCAGAAUCCUACGGGAGGCAGCAGUGGGGAAUCUUCCGCAAUGGAGGAAAGUCUUACGGAGCAACGCCGCGUUAGUGAGUACGGCCUUCGGGUUUGAAAGCUCUGUUAAUCGGGACGCGGUACCGGAAUAGAAAGCCACGGCUAACUACGUGCCAGCCGCCGCGGUAAUAC